CAAAGUUGAGGCUUGUUUGUCAUUAUCCACAUACAAGUUCUAAAGUCCACCUUAAGCUGAGCAUUAUUAGGUUCUUGCGCAGUUUUGACUUUAAAGGGGUUCUCUCAAUUUUAGGUUUUAAGUACCUGUCAAUGGAUUUCUGCAGGGGAAUUUCUACACGUUCCAUGCUUCACCUCUGUUGCCUGAGAAAAAGUGGCAGCUCAGACAGACAUCUGUAGCCAUAACAAAGUCUUAGUCAGAACAAAGGAAUUUUAAUGGGGUAAUGUGAGGUUGCCUGUGUUAUAUAUUAGAAUAGAUUCUUCAGUGAGGCAGAAGUGCACUACAAGCCCUAUUUUUAUAAGGAUCUUAUCACAAGCCACUGUGUGACGAGGAAACCUGAUCAUUUUUUGGCACACUACACUCACUCUGUGCGGUGCAGGUGCCUCCAGGCAAACCAUAUGCUUAAAAUAAAGAUUUUCCAGCUAAUAUGGCUUCUGAUGAAUUGCUGUUGUAAUAAAUGGUACAUUGAUUUCAGUGUUAUUUUGUAUUGUCUUGACACCUUAAAUGAUACAUGUAUUUCACUAUGGAUGUUAUUUUGAAAUUUCAAGUAACCUAUUGAUGUACUUAUUAGGGUGGAAAUUAGAUUUUAGAUUAUAAAUUAAUGUAAAUCAAUUUUUUUUUCGCUCUUAAAGCCUGAUGAGUGCCCUUCAGUAUUAUCUCUCUGAAUACUUUCAUCAGCUGUAUGUAGCUUCUUCUUCAUCAGAACAAGUUUGGACAUUUUUAGCAUUACAUCAGUUGCUCAGCAAUGGAUCCUCUGCAGUGAAUGGGUGUUCAAACAACUGAUUACAUUAUUCACAACAUGACUCCAGUCAAUUAAUGAAUGUCUUGUGGAAAAAAUGCAUGUUUGUAAACAUGCAUCAAAAUGUUGCUUCCAUCUAAAAUGCGAGUCCUCUAUUCAAAAUGCCUUAAUGAUGGAUUUGUUUAAUACAAAUGCAGCUUUUCACUUGACAAAAUAUUAAUUUGAUGGACUGGAGUUAAGUGGAUUAAUUGUGGAUUAUUGUGAUUAUUUUUUAAUCAACUGUUUAAACGCUCAUUCUGACGGCACCCAUUCACUGCAGAGGAUCUGCUGUUGAGCAAGUGAUGUAAUGCUAGAAUUCUCCAAAUCUAUUCUGAAGAAACAAACUCAUUUACACCUUGGAUAGCCUGAAUAAAUUUCCCCUUUCAAGCAGUAAUAAACUGCUGGAAUAAGCCUUUAACAUGCUCAGUUACACAUAAAACACACAGAGAC
ensembl:lncRNA